AGUAAAAUGGCUGAUCUAAAGCAACGGAUUGUAGCUCCGUCGAUGGGGAUAACUCUUCUUUUACUA
rnacentral:tRNA from 1 species